ensembl:lncRNA
AGGGCGGCUUCAAAAUCCAGUGGGUGGAUGAUACCCACGCCCUGGGAAUCUUCUCCAGCCUCUCCGCAGCGUCGCAGGCCCUGGGCCGCCGUUACCCCUGCCUGAGGAUCCGGCCCCUGAUCCACGCCUCCAAGCAGGCCAAGCUCAAGGCGCUCCAGAGACCAAAAUUGCUGCAGCUGGGGAAGGAGAGGCCGCAGACGGACACGGCGGUGGCCAGGAGACUCGUGUCCCACGCCCUGGGCUGGAGGCACAGGCAGCACGAGCCCACAGGGACUGAAGUUUUCCAGCCAGAAUCCUUGGAUCAGGAGGAAUAAUUCCCAAAAAAACCCCAAAAAAACCCCCCAAAAAAAGGCUGUAAAGAUGAGCAUGGCUGUGCUAUUAAAUGCAUGCAGAGCAGGCAGCGCCACGGGGGUGUUCCUUUAUGGAUCAGCUUGGGAAAGUUGGGAAUGGGAAUUCUUGUUGGGUUGUUUUUGUUUUUGGAGCCCUGGGAAGCGCUGGAAUUCUUUGUUCGCCUGCAGGAACGAGGUGGUUUCUUUAUUCCUUAUUCCUGCUCAGUUUUCCAACAAAAAGUAGGCAUUAAGAGUAAGAAAAUCUGAAUUAUUGGGGGGCCAAAAUUCAACUCUAAACAAGGGCGGGAGUUCAAAAAUCUGUUCCACGUUUGUUGUAAUGUUGCUGUUCAGGUAUCCCAGAAAACUGACAGGCAGUGAAUUCAAGUUUUAGGGAAUUCUUUCCUUAUUUAUAGAGUUUCAAGAGCCUGAACUUCCCUGUUGGUGAGGAAAGUUGGGAUCUGCUCAUUAGGGAAAAAAAACCUCCAGAAUUUGCCUGUGUUGAUGUGCCCAGAGCUGGGUUUAAAAUGAGCUUUUCACCCCCAUGCCAAGCUCUGCUGGUGCUCCAGUCUGGAAUUCUGAGGGAGAACUGGAAUUUUCCAAUUGCCAGGAGGUUAAAACCCUUUGCCAGCUGGAGAAAUGACAAAUGCUCAAAAUAUUUCUGCAUUUUUAAGCCUCACAAACAUCCCUGUGAGCUGGGGUUUGGGGGAAGUUUGCAGCCAGUUGGAAUCCCUGUGGAAUCAGCUGGAAUUCCAGUGAUUUUUUUCUUUUUCCAGGGAAAAGGUUUUUAUUGGAGCUCUGUAGCAAAGUGUGUCCUCAAACAAACAGAGGAGAACUGGGAAUUCCCACAGAGGCAGAAAUUCCCUCUGCGAGGUGCACCAGGAUAAUUCAUCCUUGGAAAAAAAAAGAUGGAAUAUCCAGGCAGGAGGGAUGGGCACAGCAGCUGGUGGCUGGAGGAUCCCUGUGGGAUGGGAAUUCCCAACCCAGAGGCCUCAUCCUUGGGAAUCUGCAGAGUUCUGGGUGCUGAGGGGUUGCUUCAGGGAGCUUUGAUUCCCUGUGAGAUUCCCUGUGAAAUUCCACGUGAAAUUCCCUGUGAAAUUUCCACAUUCUGCCGUUUGCUCCCCUCCGGAGCGUUGGAUCCAAGUGUUUCACUGCAGUAUUAAAUUCAGCUUUACACUGUUCUGCUCACAAAAAGCUGCUCCUUUUUUCCUUUUUUUUUAAAAAAAAACCCCAAAAAUUUCCUUUUAUUUCCUUGCUAAACGGAGUCAGUGCUGAGGAGGAGUGCAGGAAGCAGCAGCACAAACGGGAGUGGAAAAGAGCUGAAAAUUCCCAAAUAAUGCCUUGGAAAUGAAGGAUGAAGGCACUUCGGGGUGGUUGGCACCCAACCUGAGGAGAGGAGUGCUGCAAAAUGUGGGAGGAAUCUUUGGAAUGGUGGAGAGCUGGAGCUGAGGAGAGCUGGAAUUGCAGGAGGCACCGAGGGGUGGCCUGAGCACCUAAACUGGGGAGGGAGAGGCUUCUUCAGGAAUGAUUCACCCGGAAUUCAGAGUUUUGGUGGAGGCUGGAUUUCCUGGGGUGCAGUGGUUCGGGAAGGGCCGGAGCAGGAGUCCUGGCUUCCUUAAAUUAGUGGGAAUUCUACCGGGCAGACACGUUGUUAUUUGUGAGUCCCCUGAAGUGGUCGAACUUCUGCUCCGUCUCCUCGCUG